UUGUGCUGUUUUCACCUAUUGUCUGUUCUUUUGGUCACAGGUUUGUUGUUUGACCUCAACUGUCACAAUGAUUUCCACUUGAGUGGAGCUUUUUUACAGGAUGAGAGGGACACUGUUCAACUUGCAUUGCCUCUAGUCAAGAAUCAAGACCACCCUAACCUCUGUCAUCAAGCUGCAUGAUGCGGAUAACGCUUGUAUGUGUGCAUACUCAGAGGCCAAGCUUGAAACCAUUUUCAAUGCAUUCACAAAGGCUUGGGAGAAAUGAGCUUUAGGCCAAACAUCUAAAAGUCAAAGGUUGUCGACCAUACUACCUAUACUGUGCAACACUACCCCCUUAGUAUCAAGAGCCAUAGACAAUAUGAAUCAAUUCUUAUGCAUUGGGAUAUUUUCUUUCAGCAAAGGGAAGCAUGAACGAUAAAACUCAACACCUACUCCAGUGUGCCAGAGGAGCUUUUGGACAUUCAAAGAUGACAAAGACCUCAAACCUGGUACCACAAUCACAAUCCACAGGGAAGCAAUGUUAACCACUGUCCUUUGGAGACAUGGAAAAUGAACAGCAAACAUCUCAAGUCUCUAAGCAAUACCCCAUGACCUCAUGGGAAUCUCUUGUCCAAGACUGCCCAACCAGGAAGCAAAGCCAAUUGAGUGGCCAGUAACAAGCAACACCCUUUUCAUCAAGGGCAAUGCCGAAGUGAAUACAAAAGCGAAGGGGAGUAAUGAACAGCUUUAUAAUGGAAACAUCAGACCAGUAUACCCAAGAUAGUAAGGCUACAGCCGGAGAAAUAUGUUGCCACACUAAAGAAAGGAAGUGAUUGCACUAGAAAGAAUGCAGAGGAGAUUCUCCAACAUGCUACCAGCGCUGGACCAUUUCAGCUGUGAAGAGACUGUAGGACCUGCUAGUUUACAUCCCAGGCUGUGAAGAAGAUGGCUAUAAACAUAAGUGAUGCAUUGGUGAUUAUCUUCCCAAAUCCUAUAAACUCUGGAAAAAUUCCUGCAGACUGAAAGGCAAGGAUGCC